GUUAAUGAAUGUAAAUUGUUUCUGCUUGUUGAUUUGUAAUCAAUAGGUCCGCGGUUCGACUCCGUGCGGGGGCACCA
rnacentral:tRNA from 1 species